CGGGGUGUAGCUCAGCUUGGUUUAGAGCGCUUGGUUCGGGACCAAGAGGUCGCCGGUUCAAAUCCGGCCACCCCGA
rnacentral:tRNA from 1 species